CCCGAUUACUCUCUUUAUAUCUAGUGGCCUUUUGUGCAAUAUUUUUUUGUUUUGAAAAAAAAAAAGUAUCCUAGGGUAAAGGAUGCCAAACCAUCCAAUGUGAUGAAACCACCUCAAUCUUUACCGCUUUGUUUGGAUAGUCCUCAUAAGGAAAAAAAAGGGGAGAAAGGAAGGAAAGGGGAGAGAAAGGAAGAGGGAAUAUUAUCCUUAUUUGGAUAGUCCUCGUCCGGGAAAGAAAAGAAGAAAGAGGAUAGAUAUUUUAAAUUAAAAAGAUCAUUAAAUCCUAGCUUUAUUUAAAUAUCUAUAGAUAUUUUUGUCCUUUAUCUAUCUCAUAUCCCAUUUCCUCCCAAUUCUCCCAAAUGGAAGGA
rnacentral:lncRNA from 1 species